GAUCAAGCGUAUAAGGGCUUCUGAUGGAUGCCUUGGCGUCGAGAGGCGAUGAAGGACGUGGCACGCUGCGAUAAGCUUCGGGGAGGCGCGAGCACCCUUUGAUCCGAAGAUUUCCGAAUGGGGAAACCCACCUUAACGGUCUGCGAAUUUUACCCUCGGCUUCGGCCGGCGGUACGGUUCGUAGGGCGUUUAAAGGUAUAAUGACCUGAAUACAUAGGGUUCAUUAAGCAAACCCGGGGA
rnacentral:rRNA from 1 species